ACAUGGCUCAGGAUGAACGCUAGCUACAGGCUUAACACAUGCAAGUCGAGGGGCAGCAUCAUCAAAGCUUGCUUUGAUGGAUGGCGACCGGCGCACGGGUGAGUAACACGUAUCCAACCUGCCGACAACACUGGGAUAGCCUUUCGAAAGAAAGAUUAAUACCGGAUGGUAUAGUUUUCCCGCAUGGGGUGACUAUUAAAGAAUUUCGGUUGUCGAUGGGGAUGCGUUCCAUUAGGCAGUUGG
rnacentral:rRNA from 1 species